rnacentral:rRNA from 1 species
CUCAGUUCGGAUCGGAGUCUGCAACCCGACUCCGUGAAGCUGGAUUCGCUAGUAAUCGCGAAUCAGAAUGUCGCGGUGAAUACGUUCCCGGGUCUUGUACACACCGCCCGUCACACCAUGGGAGUCGGAAAUGCCCGAAGUCAGUGACCUAACCGAAAGGGAGGAGCUGCCGAAGGUGGAGCCGGUAACUGGGGUGAAGUCGUAACAAGGUAAC